UGAUAUAUUUAAUGACAUAUAUUCUAAUUUGCAAAGUCUUCAUUUAUCUACCGAUACUAAUGUUGCAUUGCAUCCCCUGAACAAUAACGUUAAAAAUACGGACAAAGCAUUUGACGCCGGAUUAGGUGAAAUUAUCAGUAUUAUAAUUUCUUAUGACAUGGGAUGGAGUAAGAGCCCAGCUGGCACACACUCGUCAUUUUGACGUCGAAAACUGGUCAUGUUCGGACGAAUGACGUCAGGUGACCAAAUAGGUCCGAAAAUAUGACGUCAUUUGAAUGACUACAUAAUCACGUCAUGUCUACACGUCAUAAUAACGUCCAGUGGACGUCUCUAAAACGUAUUUUGCAAACCAUAAUGAUUCCGCGCAUGCGGCAAAUGGUUGAGCUGUGCGUUUCUGUAUGGCAAUUAUCUCCGUGUAGUGCGUUGUAUUUACUAGUACUGGUCACAAUUACGUUAUAUGUUAUGGCUUAUUGUGGAAUUGAAUUUCACAACGACGAUAACGAUAACAGUGGCGAAAUAGCCAUUGUUCAUGUAAAGUGGCUUACUCCACGCAAAAAGAAUGUUCUAUGGCCGCCCUAUAAAACAAUAUCGCGUUUUAAUAAAGUUCUUUUCUACGGAGAAGAACCGAAUGAACAUACCUGGCAACUGUAUAAUAUAAAACGAAAAUUUUUUGAAUGUGAUGAUCUUCAAAAAGCUCACGCAAAGCUUAAAAAAUGUGAAACGUCAUCAGAUGUACAAUCUUAUGUAUCUGAUAUUGAACACGGCAGAAAUAGAAAAAAGAACCGUAAAUAUUUUUCCAGUAGUGACGACGAAAAUAACAAUAGCAGUAUAGAAAUAUCAGUUUUACCACGUCCACCAAAAAUUAUCAAAGAAGAAAAAGCAAUUGCAAAGCUGCUGCCAGCCCAGCACAAAAUAUUUACUAAGCAACUUUUUCUGUCGAACUUUGACAUAGUUCGAAUAAUGCAUAUACUUUCGUUAAUAUAAUAUCUACUAUUAUACGAAUCUACAUUAUUGUUCAUGCAAUUACAUCGGCCUGAAGAACAGAUAUUGAAACUAUCUACUGAUUAUACUAAUGACAACCAAAGACAGCAUUCUAACGAAAUAACAGAUGCUGAAAUAUAUACCUCAUCUAGCAAGGCGGUAACUGUAAACCCA
rnacentral:misc_RNA from 1 species